rnacentral:lncRNA from 1 species
GGCCCCUGAGCUACAAGGAACACCAAUAAAAUCAGCAGGGUUACACACAGAGUUCUGCCUUGUGCAUCACAUUUUGGUAUCAAGCCUAUUUUUAAUCCUUAUAUAUGUAAAAAUACAGAGUAAAUUUCUAGGAAAUAACAGAGCAAGGCCUUUAUAUGCUAAAACACUGCAUACCAUGCAGCAGCAACCUAUAGCAAACUAAUUGCUCAGAAAUAUAAUUCUGAAAAACAGGACUCCUAUUGGAAGUUUAAACAUAUCCUUUCUUGUCACAGGCAAGAUGAUAGACAAUGUUACUGAUUUUCCUGAAAGCAGUAGGAUAGGGUGGGGCAACAAAAAGCUUCUAUAAAUGUAUUAUGUGGGAACAGGUUACAAAAUAGGUUAUAGGAACCACACAGACUGCUUCUUCAUCAGGUUUCUGCAAAGCAUUUCAUUAGAAAUGAAAGAUUAUGGGCACACCACUGUUUUUACAAUUGACAUUUUUACUAGAUAACUUUCUAAAGACAUGUUGACUGCCUCUAAGGAUGCAAAUGUGUUUUCUUCAAAACACAGCGACCCUGAACCUUGCAUGAAAGCAGUCCAAUUUACAGCAUUACAGGAUUGUUGAGUUCAAUCUACUGAAUUGAGAAACUCAAUAUAAGUUUCUUUGUAAAAAGUAGUUUACCUUUUCUGUUUCUGACAUAACUUUUUCAUCCUUAGCUUUGCCCUUUACAUCAAUAGUGUUCUUCUUUCUUAUUUUAACUUCUCAGCAUGGGUUAAAAGGACUAAAGCUGAGAAAGCAAGAGAAGUUUUCAUAAAACAUCUGCUUUUGUUAUUGAUUGCUGGUUUGCAUUAUAAAUGAUGCUUUAGUGGGUGAAAGACUCCAGCUGAUCUCUUAUUCCUCAGGCAAGGGGAAUUAAGAAUAAAAGCUUUCUGCAAAGUUGCUAUUUGUCCAUAUAUUGACACCCCAGGAUUUGUUAAUGCUUUCAAAGACAACCACCUUAUUUUUAGCAGGAAUAUUGACAUUAUAUGGAAACAUCAGGUGUCUUUUUAUGAGUUUGCAGUCUUUUAUGAUCAAUAUAAUUUCAUCAGUCAUCUCUAACAAGUUCUGGUUAACCAAACUCUUACUGGAACAGUAAAAUCUUGUGCCAAAACCAUUACGUUCUUUGGAGAAAGACAAGCAUAUACUUAGCUUUGUACUUAUACAAUAAAUAAAAGUAAGUAGAAAAUAGUUCUAUUUUU